GAUGAAGAACGUAGCGAAAUGCGACAAGUAAUGUGAAUUGCAGAAUUCAGUGAAUCAUCGAAUCUUUGAACGCACAUUGCGCCCGCCAGCACUCUGGCGGGCAUGCCUGUUCGAGCGUCAUUUCAACCAUCAAGCCCCCAGGGGCUUGUGCUGGGGCCCUGCGGCUGCCCGCAGGCCCUGAAAACCAGUGGCGGGCUCGCUAGUCACACCGAGCGCAGUAGCACAUCUCGCUCAGGGCGUGCGGCGGGCUCCUGCCGUGAAACCCCCCACUGUAACCCCAAAGGUUGACCUCGGAUCAGGUAGGAAUACCCGCUGAACUUAAGCAUAUCAAUAAGCGGAGGA
rnacentral:misc_RNA from 1 species